UACGGAGGGUGCAAGCGUUGUUCGGAAUUACUGGGCGUAAAGCGCACGUAGGCGGGUCUGCAUGUCGAUUGUGAAAUCCCCGGGCUUAACCUGGGAAUUGCAGUCGAAACGGCAGAUCUUGAAUGCUUGAGAGGAUGGCGGAAUUCCUGGUGUAGUAGUGAAAUACGUAGAUAUCAGGAAGAACACCCGAGGCGAAGGCGGCUAUCUGGUGAUGCAUUGACGCUGAGGUGCGAAAGCGUGGGGAGCAAACAGG
rnacentral:rRNA from 1 species